GGGGGCUUUCUUCUGUUCAAUCCUUAAUAGAGAGCUUGCUUAAGUUGAAACAAAAUGAUACAAAAACAGAGCAGACAGGUAUUGAUUUCUCCGAGCAUAUUCUAUUAACAAUUGCUUUUAAAAAAAGUGCAAAGGAAUGAGCUCAAGAAGGAAAGGCCCUACAGUGAUUUUAUGCAGUACUUUAGAAAUGGAAGUUUUUGAAAGUGCAAACUAAGCUAUUUAAUCGGGAAGUUAUUUCCAUAAUUAUUAAUUUCCUGUUCAGAUUAGUUAAUAUGAUUUUAAAAUCAUAAAAUAGAGACAAAGCACACACAAGUAUCUUACUGUUGAUAAAAUUAGCAUUUAAAAAAAUGAUGCUCAUCCUCAACUUUCGCUGAAGUGCUUUU